GGAAUCUGCUGGGGAAUGGGCUUGGCGUGACUUCCAGAACUUACUGAGAUUGUGGUGGUCAGCACAUCCUCAAUCAUCCUGUUUCACAAGAAGACACAAAAGCUACUUUGCAUAAAGGAAGACUUGUUGCUUUCUGUUUUGGAGAGCACAGCAUGGGAGCACAAGACAACUGACUGAGAAGCACUCUGGGGCAGGGCCACCUGCUUCUGAAGCAUCUUUACACUGCUAAGGCCUCACUCACCGUCUGUGACAUGAUCUAUGCUCGCAGGAUGGAUGCCUGUUACCAAGUGAAUGAAGAUCCUGAGUGCUGAAACAUUUCUGAACUUCCCAGGCACCUGUGAGCCAUGCUGGCAUGAAGCAUUAAUGGGUCUCAUUUCCCUUCUGGUGGGUGCACCUGAGGGAACCCUGCAUGGCAGCUGGUUGCAGAAGAAGCCAAAAACAGAAGCUGACAGCAAAUCAUAAAGCCCCUGGGAUUGUGUCCUAUUUAAAUAGAUCACCUUGUUUCCAAACAUUCAUUUAUUUCCCUUUUGAUUCUUUCUUCUCCGUUUGCAAGCCUGCAUAUCCAGUUUCACAGUUUUCUAGCAUUUACCAUGUGUUGGGCACUGUGCUAGCCACCUUUGGCACUGCAUCCUCUAAUAAGCAAAGCUGCCUAUAAGCCAUUCUACCCCGCUUUUUGAUGUUGUAUGGCCUCCAUCCGCCCCAUUGGCUGCCAGCUCAGAAUUCACCUCCUGGCCUUGCUCACUGUGUUGCCCCCUGCACCUUUCCUAGCCUCCUAGGGACCUGAGGGCUCUUACUCAAACCCACCUCACCUGGCACAUCGAAACAUAGCAGCGGCAGCAAGUCCUGCGGUGAGCGAGGGAGGCUGGGCCAGGGGGGUGACUGACCUUUUCUCAUCUCUGCACUCGGGUCCCAUACCUGCCAACUGUCUUAAUUGGCAAGGUUGGGUAUGUUUCUAUAUUUUUAUUAACUAGUUAAGCCCCCCCUUAUAUGCAUUUUCUGUUCACGUUCUUUGUCUACUUAUCUAUUGAGGUCUUGAAUUUUAAAAAAUCAAUUUAUAUGAAUUCUUUAUGUAGCAGAGAUAUUAAAACAUUUCUGCAAUGUUUGCUGCAAAAUUCUUUCUCUGUCCAAUAUUUGUUUCCUUGGCUUUUCCUAUAAAGAAGAUAUGUCUUCCGAGUGUAAAGUUUGCACCCAUAAAUAAGAAGGGCCAUAUUUAAAUGUGUGUACCUUUCUCUUAUCUUUACAUAGCCUAUAAUAUGUUUUCUCAGGCAGUUUAAGUCUCACUCUGGAAUGCUCAGAUUGGCAGCCAAGGAUGUGUUCAGGAGGAGGGAGAAAUUGGAUCCCUCUGUGACAGGAAUGGCUAAUGACAUUUUCUCCCUGAUGAGGCUCUGUGGUCCACUCUUCAUCUAUACAUUCUAAAAUAUUUAUUGAGCAUCUACUCUAUGCCAGGCACCACUGCCUGGGACAUUUCGGGCCCUGGUUUAAUGGUCACUGAGAUUUAAUUGAGUUUUGAUGAGAUGGA